rnacentral:tRNA from 1 species
GCACUCUUAGCUCAGAUUGGAUAGAGCGUCGGUCUUCUAAAUCGUUGGUCACAGGUUCGAGUCCUGUAGAGUGCA